rnacentral:antisense_RNA from 2 species
CUUCAGCGAGCCGAGCAGCAGCGGACGCUGCGGGGCGCGGUCCCGGCCGUAGGUGGCGAGCAGCGCCUGUGCCUC